UACAGAGGGUGCAAGCGUUAAUCGGAAUGACUGGGCGUAAAGCGUGUGUAGGUGGUUAGAUAAGUUAGAUGUGAAAUCCCCCGGGCUUAACCUGGGAACUGCGUUUAAGACUGUUUAACUAGAGUACUGUAGAGGAUAGUGGAAUUUCAGUGUAGCGGUGAAAUGCGUAGAUAUUGGAAGGAACACCAGUGGCGAAGGCGACUAUCUGGACAGAUACUGACACUGAGACACGAAAGCGUGGGGAGCAAACAGG
rnacentral:rRNA from 1 species